UACGGAGGGUGCAAGCGUUAUCCGGAUUCACUGGGUUUAAAGGGUGCGUAGGUGGGAAUGUAAGUCAGUGGUGAAAUCUCCGUGCUUAACAUGGAAACUGCCAUUGAUACUAUGUUUCUUGAAUCUUCCGGAGGUCAGCGGAAUAUGUCAUGUAGCGGUGAAAUGCUUAGAUAUGACAUAGAACACCAAAUUGCGAAGGCAGCUGACUACAGGGGCAUUGACACUGAGGCACGAAAGCGUGGGGAUCAAACAGG
rnacentral:rRNA from 1 species